rnacentral:rRNA from 1 species
GACGAACGCUGGCGGCGUGCUUAACACAUGCAAGUCGAACGGAAAGGCCCGGCUUUUGUGGGGUGCUCGAGUGGCGAACGGGGGAGUAACACGUGAGUAACCUGCCCUUGACUGUGGGAUAACUUCAGGAAACUGGGGCGAAUACCGGAUAUGAGCUCCUGCUGCAUGGUGGGGGUUGGAAAGUUCCGGCGGUGGUGGAUGGACUCGCGGCUUAUCAGCUUGUUGGUGGGGUAGGUGCUGACCAAGGCUUUGAGGGGUAGCCGGCCUUGGAGGGUGGCCGGCCACCUUGGGCCUGCGAUACGGCCCAGACUCCUACGGGCGGCAGCGGUGGGGAGCCUUGCAGAAUGGGCGGACGCCUGAUGCAGCGACGCCCCGUGCGUGAUGACGGCCUUCGGGUUGUAAACCACUUUCGCCUGUGCCGAAGAGUGAGUGACGGUAAUGGGUAAAGAAGCACCGGCUAACUACGUG